UGAUUUCUCAAUUUAGCAAAAGUUUCUAUAUAGAAAAAGAAAAUCUGACAUAAAUUUAGUGCCUUGUGGAAAGGGGAGGUAGGGAUCGAGGGUAAUGGUAGGGACGCAUACCAACUUGAGGCUCUUUAUUCAUGCCGCUGCAUAUGCCACUCUAGAUAACAUUUCAUACCAACCCUAAACCCUUACCUAAACUUUAAUUAGCUCUCAUAACAACCCUCUAAUUAUUAAUACCAAAUUAUCUUUUACUGUCUAAUAAUCCAUCACACAAACUGCACAAACUGACUUUAGGGACAAGGGUUUAUGAUCCAUCCAUGAUUUAAUACUAGAUUUCAUCCAUAAGUAGAAAGCUUAGUUAAUCUUUCUCCAACUGAUGACUCCUUUAAAAAAUUGAUGGAUCCUUCGCCGGAUUCCCCGACUGACUCCAGAGGGGCCAUAAGAUGACGAGCAAACAAGUUUCUAGUUUUAGAAUGGGGGCGGGGGUGUUGAGUCUCAAAUUGCUCCCACAGCUUUAAUUAUAUAGAUAUUUUUUCCUGUAUCAUUUAUGUAUAUUAGUGACUUUUAAUUUGCAAUUUAC
rnacentral:lncRNA from 1 species